ensembl:lncRNA
CAAUUUCACUGAUAUUCCUGUUGCUUGCAUGAACCUUGUCGCCUCUGUAUCAGGAUUUGCCCAGACAUCACAACAAGCAGACGCUUUUUCUGAGAAGAUACUUGCAUUACUCAAUGAGGCCAAGCAAACUGUCAGAGCAUGGAGCACACAAACUUUAAAAGGUAGACUUUUAAACAGAGGUUAUGUGACGUGUGCCAACUUCACUACAGAAAUUGAGAUUUGGAAUAACAUUAUAGCCAUAGAGUUCAUGAGUAAGGACUUCACUAAAGAAUGGAGAGAGACAUUUACAACAGACUUUGAGGGGAAAUAUCAACAGG